UACGUAGGGGGCGAGCGUUGUCCGGAGUUACUGGGCGUAAAGGGCACGCAGGCGGUGCUGCGCGUUUCGCGUGACAGCGGGUGGCUUAACUACCCGAGAGUGCGAAAGACGGCGGGGCUGGAGGGCCAGAGAGGGACACGGAAUUCCGGGUGGAGUGGUGAAAUGCGUAGAGAUCCGGAGGAACACCGAAGGCGAAGGCAGUGUCCUGGCUGGUAUCUGACGCUGAGGUGCGAAAGCCAGGGGAGCGAAC
rnacentral:rRNA from 1 species